UACGGGGGGGGCAAGCGUUGUUCGGAAUUACUGGGCGUAAAGGGCUCGUAGGUGGCCAAUUAAGUCAGACGUGAAAUCCCCAGGCUUAACCGGGGAACUGCAUCUGAUACUGGAUGGCUUGAGUUCGGGAGAGGGAUGCGGAAUUCCAGGUGUAGCGGUGAAAUGCGUAGAUAUCUGGAGGAACACCGGUGGCGAAGGCGGCAUCCUGGACCGACACUGACGCUGAGGAGCGAAAGCCAGGGGAGCAAACGGG
rnacentral:rRNA from 1 species